rnacentral:rRNA from 1 species
GAUGAGCGCUGGCGGCGUGCCUAAUACAUGCAAGUCGAGCGAACGGACGAGAAGCUUGCUUCUCUGAUGUUAGCGGCGGACGGGUGAGUAAUACGUGGAUAACCUACCUAUAAGACUGGGAUAACUUCGGGAAACCGGAGCUAAUACCGGAUAAUAUUUUGAACCGCAGGGUUCAAAAGUGAAAGACGUUCUUGCUGUCACUUAUAGAGGGAUCCGCGCUGCUUUAGCUAGUUGGUAAGGUAACGGCUUACCAAGGCAACGAUGCAUAGCCGACCUGAGAGGGUGAUCCGCCACACUGGAACUGAGAACCGGUCCAGACUCCUACGGGAGGCAGCAGUAGGGAAUCUUUCGAAAUGGGGGAAAGGCUGACGGAGCAACGCCGCGUGGGUGAUGAAGGUUUUCGGAUCGUAAAACUCUGUUAUUAGGGAAGAACAUAUGUGUAAGUAACUGUGCACAUCUUGACGGUACCUAAUCAGAAAGCCACGGCUAACUACGUG